AAUGAACGCUGGCGGCAGGCUUAACACAUGCAAGUCGAGCGGAGCGAGGGUGCUUGCACCUUAGCUUAGCGGCGGACGGGUGAGUAAUGCUUAGGAAUCUGCCUAUUAGUGGGGGACAACAUUCCGAAAGGGAUGAUAAUACCGCAUACGCCCUACGGGGGAAAGCAGGGGAUCUGCGGACCUUGCGCUAAUAGAUGGGCCUAAGUCGGAUUAGCUAGUUGGUGGGGUAAAGGCCUACCACGGCGACGAUCUGUAGCGGGUCUGAGAGGAUGAUCCGCCACACUGGGACUGAGACACGGCCCAGACUCCGACGGGAGGCAGCAGUGGAGAAUAUUGGACAAUGGGGGGAACCCUGAUCCAGCCAUGCCGCGUGUGUGAAGAAGGCCUUUUGGUUGUAAAGCACUUUAAGCGAGGGGGAGGCGCUCUAGGAUAAUACCCUAGAUGCGUGGACGUUACUCGCAGAAUAAGCACCGGCUAACUCUGUGCCAGCCGCCGCCGUAAGAC
rnacentral:rRNA from 1 species